rnacentral:rRNA from 1 species
CGCGUAGGCGGAUCCUCAAGUCGGGUGUGAAAACCAGCAGCUUAACUGCUGGCCUGCACUCGAUACUGUAGAUCUUGAGUACGAGAGAGGAGAGUGGAAUUCCAGGUGUAGCGGUGAAAUGCGUAGAUAUCUGGAAGAACACCAGUAGCGAAGGCGGCUCUCUGGCUCGAUACUGACGCUAAAGCGCGAAGGCAUGGGGAGCAAACA